GGGGUUGUGGCUCAGCGGUAGAGCGCUUGCCUAGCACAUGCAAGACCCUGGGUUUGAUCCUCAGCACCUCA
rnacentral:tRNA from 1 species